rfam:Candidatus Desulforudis audaxviator MP104C, complete genome.
UCACCGGCAACGGUGGGGUCUGAAGGAAGCUGAAGGGGGAACUUGGAACAUAGCGCAAGCGAACCGGGGUUGGCUCUUCAGGUGGGUAACCUUGCAAGAUAUGGGAAAGCCCGAAAGCUGGAUAACCUGAGGAGUUAAGACGGAUGCGUUCAAGUUCGGGCAGACAGA